AGUGAACGCUGGCGGUAGGCCUAACACAUGCAAGUCGAACGGCAGCACAGUAAGAGCUUGCUCUUACGGGUGGCGAGUGGCGGACGGGUGAGGAAUACAUCGGAAUCUACUUUUUCGUGGGGGAUAACGUAGGGAAACUUACGCUAAUACCGCAUACGACCUACGGGUGAAAGCAGGGGAUCUUCGGACCUUGCGCGAUUGAAUGAGCCGAUGUCGGAUUAGCUAGUUGGCGGGGUAAAGGCCCACCAAGGCGACGAUCCGUAGCUGGUCUGAGAGGAUGAUCAGCCACACUGGAACUGAGACACGCUCCAGACUCCUACGGGAGGCAGCAGUGGGGAAUAUUAGACAAUGGGCGCAAGCCUGAUCCAGCCAUACCGCGUGGGUGAAGAAGGCCUUCGGGUUGUAAAGCCCUUUUGUUGGGAAAGAAAAGCAGCAGGUUAAUACCCCGCUGUUCUGACGGUACCCAAAGAAUAAGCACCGGCUAACUUCGUG
rnacentral:rRNA from 1 species